rnacentral:antisense_RNA from 1 species
CCAGUCGGGUUGGAGUUUAUUUCUGCCAGAGCCUGGAGGCUGGGAGGGUAAAGGACACUCCUUUAGUCCCAGAGGGAAGCUCCGAACCCUCAGCAACCAGAAGGGAGGGCAGAGCAUGGGCAGCAGCAGGAGUGAGAGGGGUCCCCUUGUCCUGCCCCUUUGCAAGGGUUCAAGGCUGGUGGAGGCCUGGGGCUUCUGUCGCUCAGGAGUUCGGGGGUGGACACAGAAAUGGGGGAAGGAGAGUGGCUACGUAGAGAGAGAGUGAGAGCGAGAUCCCUAAAAAGAUGCACAGAGGGACCCUCAGAGACGCCAAGACGGUGAGAGGGUAGGGAAGGAGAGGGACGGAGAGAGAGAGAGAAGCAGACGGAAUGGGCUGCACUGGCUGAGGACGGUGGAGGAGCCGUCUCACUCCCUUCCUAAUGUCUAGAGAUCAAUAACAAGGGAAGAAAGGAGGACAGGGAGCUGAUGGGAACACAGCUUGCCAACUGUACCCAGUCCCCCCACAAGC